GAAAAUGUUGUCGAUUAUACCAACACAAAUGGUUCUAAACAAUAUUAUGCAUCAAUCACGGUGAUACAAAAUAAAUAAAUAAAGUUAAAAUCACACAAUUCGUUAACGCAAACUAUGUUAAAAAAAACUUACGUGAGUCUAACCACGCAAAAAUGGAAGCUAGAAAAAAAAUAAUGAUUUUCUCCACAUUUCCUUUCUCCCGCAAAAGAUAAAAUAAAGCAUUCACUAUUGAGAUAAAAUCAUAAACAGGAUAAAAAUAAAUCAUUCAUCAUUCACAUAAAAUCAUAAACAACAAAACAAAUAAUGAAUCAAAACCUCAAAAACAAAUUUUGAAAAUUUUUAAAUUACUUUUCGCCAAUGAAGUGGAAGAGCAAAUGGAAGUUGCAGCUGAAGCUGGAAAUCCAUUGGGUGCAGAGGCGCAACGAUGGUGGUGGAGCUGAAAUGAAGAAGAAAAGAACUUAACAAUAAAUUUUAAAAAAAAUAAAUGAAAAGAAGAAUGCAGAGAAGACCAGUAGCAGGACUGCAACGACGGAGGCAGUGCAGGGGUAGGAAUGGCCGAUGAACGCAGUGGGCGCAGAGGCAGAGACAUUGGGGCGGGACUUGUCGGGACAGAGGCUGAGGCACCGGGGCUAGGGAGAUGGAGAGUGCAAUGAGAGAAGAGAUAAAUU
rnacentral:lncRNA from 1 species